rnacentral:rRNA from 1 species
CGGUGACCAAGCGGCAGGACUCCACCCGUUCCCAUCUCGAACACGGUCGUAAAGACUGCUUGCGCCAACAAUACUCGGAGGGUAGCCUCCCGGGAAGAUAGGUAGUUGCCGGAUU